rnacentral:rRNA from 1 species
GGGUUGUGAGGUUAAGCGACUAAGCGUACACGGUGGAUGCCCUGGCAGUCAGAGGCGAUGAAGGACGUGCUAAUCUGCGAAAAGCGUCGGUAAGGUGAUAUGAACCGUUAUAACCGGCGAUGUCCGAAUGGGGAAACCCAGUGUGAUUCGUCACACUAUCGUUAACUGAAUACAUAGGUUAACGAGGCGAACCGGGGGAACUGAAACAUCUAAGUACCCCGAGGAAAAGAAAUCAACCGAGAUUCCCCCAGUAGCGGCGAGCGAACGGGGAGCAGCCCAGAGUCUGAAUCAGCUUGUGUGUUAGUGGAACGGUCUGGAAAGUCCGACGGUACAGGGUGAUAGUCCCGUACACCAAAAUGCACAGGCUGUGAACUCGAAGAGUAGGGCGGGACACGUGGUAUCCUGUCUGAAUAUGGGGGGACCAUCCUCCAAGGCUAAAUACUCCUGACUGACCGAUAGUGAACCAGUACCGUGAGGGAAAGGCGAAAAGAACCCCGGCGAGGGGAGUGAAAAAGAACCUGAAACCGUGUACGUACAAGCAGUGGGAGCACCUUCGGGUGUGACUGCGUACCUUUGUAUAAUGGGUCAGCGACUUAUAUUCUGUAGCAAGGUUAACCGUAUAGGGAGCCGCAGGGAAACCGAGUCUUAACUGGGCGUUAAGUUGCAGGGUAUAGACCCGAAACCCGGUGAUCUAGCCAUGGGCAGGUUGAAGGUUGGGUAACACUAACUGGAGGACCGAACCGACUAAUGUUGAAAAAUUAGCGGAUGACUUGUGGCUGGGGGUGAAAGGCCAAUCAAACCGGGAGAUAGCUGGUUCUCCCCGAAAGCUAUUUAGGUAGCGCCUCGUGAAUUCAUCUUCGGGGGUAGAGCACUGUUUCGGCUAGGGGGUCAUCCCGACUUACCAACCCGAUGCAAACUACGAAUACCGAAGAAUGUUAUCACGGGAGACACACGGCGGGUGCUAACGUCCGUCGUGAAGAGGGAAACAACCCAGACCGCCAGCUAAGGUCCCAAAGUCAUGGUUAAGUGGGAAACGAUGUGGGAAGGCACAGACAGCCGGAUGUUGGCUUAGAAGCAGCCAUCAUUUAAAGAAAGCGUAAUAGCUCACUGGUCGAGUCGGCCUGCGCGGAAGAUGUAACGGGGCUAAACCAUGCACCGAAGCUGCGGCAGCGACACUAUGUGUUGUUGGGUAGGGGAGCGUUCUGUAAGCCUGCGAAGGUGUGCUGUGAGGCAUGCUGGAGGUAUCAGAAGUGCGAAUGCUGACAUAAGUAACGAUAAAGCGGGUGAAAAGCCCGCUCGCCGGAAGACCAAGGGUUCCUGUCCAACGUUAAUCGGGGCAGGGUGAGUCGACCCUAAGGCGAGGCCGAAAGGCGUAGUCGAUGGGAAACAGGUUAAUAUUCCUGUACUUGGUGUUACUGCGAAGGGGACGGAGAAGGCUAUGUUAGCCGGGCGACGGUUGUCCCGGUUUAAGCAUGUAGGCUGGUUGUCGGGCAAAUCCGGAUAAUCAAGGCUGAGGUGUGAUGACGAGGCACUACGGUGCUGAAGUAACAAAUGCCCUGCUUCCAGGAAAAGCCUCUAAGCAUCAGGUAACAUCAAAUCGUACCCCAAACCGACACAGGUGGUCAGGUAGAGAAUACCAAGGCGCUUGAGAGAACUCGGGUGAAGGAACUAGGCAAAAUGGUGCCGUAACUUCGGGAGAAGGCACGCUGGUGUGUAGGUGAAGUCCCUGCGGAUGGAGCUGAGACCAGUCGAAGAUACCAGCUGGCUGCAACUGUUUAUUAAAAACACAGCACUGUGCAAACACGAAAGUGGACGUAUACGGUGUGACGCCUGCCCGGUGCCGGAAGGUUAAUUGAUGGGGUUAUCCGUAAGGAGAAGCUCUUGAUCGAAGCCCCGGUAAACGGCGGCCGUAACUAUAACGGUCCUAAGGUAGCGAAAUUCCUUGUCGGGUAAGUUCCGACCUGCACGAAUGGCGUAAUGAUGGCCAGGCUGUCUCCACCCGAGACUCAGUGAAAUUGAACUCGCUGUGAAGAUGCAGUGUACCCGCGGCAAGACGGAAAGACCCCGUGAACCUUUACUAUAGCUUGACACUGAACAUUGAGCCUUGAUGUGUAGGAUAGGUGGGAGGCUUUGAAGCGUGGACGCCAGUCUGCGUGGAGCCAACCUUGAAAUACCACCCUUUAAUGUUUGAUGUUCUAACGUUGGCCCCUUACCGGGGUUGCGGACAGUGUCUGGUGGGUAGUUUGACUGGGGCGGUCUCCUCCCAAAGCGUAACGGAGGAGCACGAAGGUUAGCUAAUCUGGUCGGACAUCAGGAGGUUAGUGCAAUGGCAUAAGCUAGCUUGACUGCGAGCGUGACGGCGCGAGCAGGUGCGAAAGCAGGUCAUAGUGAUCCGGUGGUUCUGAAUGGAAGGGCCAUCGCUCAACGGAUAAAAGGUACUCCGGGGAUAACAGGCUGAUACCGCCCAAGAGUUCAUAUCGACGGCGGUGUUUGGCACCUCGAUGUCGGCUCAUCACAUCCUGGGGCUGAAGUAGGUCCCAAGGGUAUGGCUGUUCGCCAUUUAAAGUGGUACGCGAGCUGGGUUUAGAACGUCGUGAGACAGUUCGGUCCCUAUCUGCCGUGGGCGCUGGAGAAUUGAGGGGGGCUGCUCCUAGUACGAGAGGACCGGAGUGGACGCAUCACUGGUGUUCGGGUUGUCAUGCCAAUGGCACUGCCCGGUAGCUAAAUGCGGAAGAGAUAAGUGCUGAAAGCAUCUAAGCACGAAACUUGCCCCGAGAUGAGUUCUCCCUGAGACUUUAAGUCUCCUGAAGGAACGUUGAAGACGACGACGUUGAUAGGCCGGGUGUGUAAGCGCAGCGAUGCGUUGAGCUAACCGGUACUAAUGAACCGUGAGGCUUAACCUUACAACGCCGAAG